AUGCUUAACACAUGCAAGUCGAACGGUGUCUUCGGACAUAGUGGCGUACGGGUGAGUAACGCGUGAGAAUCUAGCUUCAGGUCUGGGACAACCACUGGAAACGGUGGCUAAUACCGGAUGUGCCGGAAGGUGAAAGGCUUGCUGCCUGAAGAUGAGCUCGCGUCCGAUUAGCUAGUAGGUGGGGUAAGAGCCUACCUAGGCGACGAUCGGUAGCUGGUCUGAGAGGAUGACCAGCCACACUGGGACUGAAACACGGCCCAGACUCCUACGGGGGGCAGCAGUGGGGAAUUUUCCGCAAUGGGCGAAAGCCUGACGGAGCGAUGGCGAAAAAAAAAGGAAGGCUCUUGGGUUGUAAACCUCUUUUCUCAGGGAAGGAACACAAUGACGGUACCUGAGGAAUCAGCAUCGGCUAACUCCGUGCCAGCAGCCGCGGUAAUACGGAGGAUGCAAGCGUUAUCCGGAAUGAUUGGGCGUAAAGCGUCCGCAGGUGGCUGUGUAAGUCUGCUGUCAAAGAGCAAAGCUCAACUUUGUAAAGGCAGUGGAAACUACACGGCUAGAGUGCGUUCGGGGCAGAGGGAAUUCCUGGUGUAGCGGUGAAAUGCGUAGAGAUCAAGAAGAACACCGGUGGCGAAGGCGCUCUGCUAGGCCGCAACUGACACUGAGCGACGAAAGCUAGGGGAGCGAAAAGGAUUAGAUACCCCAGUAGUCCUAGCUGUAAACGA
rnacentral:rRNA from 1 species